rnacentral:rRNA from 1 species
GAGGUGCGAAGGCGAUCAGAUACCGCCCUAGUUCUAACCAUAAACGAUGCCAGCCAGCGAUCCGGCUGCGUUCCUCAAAUGACGCGCCGGGCAGCUUCCGGGAAACCAAAGCUUUUGGGUUCCGGGGGAAGUAUGGUUGCAAAGCUCGAACUUAAAGGAAUUGACGGAAGGGCACACAAGGGAUGGAUCCUGCGGCUUAAUUUGACUCAACACGGGGAAACUCACCCUUACCGGACGCAGGAAGGAUUGACAGAUCAAGAGCUCUUUCUUGAUUCUGCGGGGAGUGGUGCACGGCCGUUCUUAGUUGGUGGAGUGAUUUGUCUGCUUUAUUGCGUCAA